rnacentral:rRNA from 1 species
CAGCGCCACGAGUGGGAGCCAUGUUUAUUGGGCCUAAAGCGUUCGUAGUCGGUUUAGUAAAUUUCUUGUGAAAUUAUCAGGCUUAACCUGAUAGCGUGCAAGAAAGACUGCUAAACUAGGGACCGGUAGGAGUGUGAGGUAUUCCAAGGGGAGCGGUAAAAUGUUAUAAUCCUUGGAGGACCACCUGUGGCGAAGGCGUCACACUAGAACGGAUCCGACGAUGAGGGACGAAAGCCAGGGGAGCGAUCCGGAUUAGAUACCCGAGUAGUCC